GUASGGUGCAAGCGUUAAUCGGAAUUACUGGGCGUAAAGCGUGCGCAGGCGGUUAUGCAAGACAGAGGUGAAAUCCCCGGGCUCAACCUGGGAACUGCCUUUGUGACUGCAUGGCUAGAGUACGGUAGAGGGGGAUGGAAUUCCGCGUGUAGCAGUGAAAUGCGUAGAUAUGCGGAGGAACACCGAUGGCGAAGGCAAUCCCCUGGACCUGUACUGACGCUCAUGCACGAAAGCGUGGGGAGCAAACAGGAUUAGAUACCCUGGUAGUCCACGCCCUAAACGAUGUCAACUGGUUGUUGGGAGGGUUUCUUCUCAGUAACGUAGCUAACGCGUGAAGUUGACCGCCUGGGGAGUACGGCCGCAAGGUUG
rnacentral:rRNA from 1 species